CUACAAAGUAAUUUCAUGGCUAACCAUAGCUACAUAGUGAGAUGCUGUCUUUAAAAACAGAAACAAAGGAAAACAGUUUCAGGGGAUGCUGGCCAAUUGUUAGAAUAUAGAAGAGUUUGGCUUCUUAUGCCAUAGAUACAAAGGUGCCAUUGAGUGAUGAGUAUGCAGAACAUAGCCUCAUUUCUGUUGAGGAAUUCUAACCAGGGUGACAUAUUUACCCCUUGUAAUGAGUCGUGGCAUAGUGUGAGCUUUUUGUUUUGGUUGGGUUUUGGUUUAUGAUUUGGUUUGAUUAUCUCUGCUUGUAUGGUUUGGAGUCUUGACCUCGUACCGAAAGCUGUAGGAUCCAGAUCUCGCAUUUACUUUUUCAUAGAACCACUUUUCCAGUAAUAAAGUAACUUUUUUUAUUGUGCGAUCUUUCUGUAAUAUGUGAUUUUAAACUGAUUGUUUAUCAAGAGUAUGCUGGGACGUGCUUGUAAUCCUAGUCCUUUGAAGGCUAAGGCAGGAGGAUAAUGAUUUCAGGUUAGCCUGGGCAAUAUAGCCAGAUCCUGUUUCACACACAAAAACAGAAAAACUAAACAAAAGGUAUUUAAUGAAUACAAUGAUAUCUUUUACUGAGGCAAAGAGAUUAUAAAGCAGUGUGGUCAUCGUGGGUAAGGCACCCAUGACUUGAAGAAAGACGAUGGCUUGAGUCUAACGGGAGAGACUUGGGAGGCGAGUGAACAGGGUUUGAACUUUUCUAGCUAGAGAUGCGUGAAGAGAAGGAAAGAGGACUCCAGAUGUCUUCUCAGACUUGGCUUAGGCUUUCAGCUGACUGGGAGCCUAUGAUUUGCCUUUUUAGUGAGUGGCCAUGGCUUCUCUAGCUUUAAUGGUAUGAAAUAUGGAAAAUGUAGAGCUCGCUUGAGCUCUUAGUUUAGUUUUUAAAAGAACAUAUGCGAAAAGACAGGCGUUAGAUGAUAGGACGGAUGGACCUGUAAGGUCAGCCCUGACUUGUGCGGGUCAGGCUGUCAUGUGGGGUACUUGGUGAUAAUGAUGACAAAUUUGAUAUUUAUUCCAUUGCCUCUUGAUGUGAUUGUAAAAGUCUUGUGACUUGAGUUAAUAUAUUGUUUAGUCCACACUGUAUGUUAAGUAAGGUGCUAAAUAUUAAAAUAUAUUGUCUUUAUUAUACAGAGACAUCUUCCAAGACAGUACUUAUCAUUAACUGAGCAGAUGAAGUAAUUUCAUCUUGAGAAAGAUAAUGAUUGUUCAAUGCUGAGCAACCAGUCUUUAAUUAGUUACGUUUUUACCUUUUUCUGUAUGGGCAUGUGACUCAAAUCUGUACUCUUCCUAAGUAAUAUAAAAUAUUACAAAUAAUUAGUAUCGUGUUAAAUGGGAAAUUGAUGCUUUGAAGGAGUCAGUGGUUAGAAAAAUGAACAACUUGAAAAUUAUAAGAUGUGGAUUACAAUUCAGAAACAUCUUAGGGCUUCAGUUUAUUAACUUAAUAAAUGAUAAUAAGGCUUACUUAUUUAAUCAUAUGGAUAUCAUGCAGUGAAAUUUUUAGGAUUUCAAAAUAUAUUAAAAGGUUUAUUAAUGGAUAACUUGGUUCAGGGAUAGAAAGAUAAACAAAGGAACAAGAAAUCCAAAUCAGAGCCACUCAGGUAGUGCAUCUGACAUAUGAAGGUAAUAUUACCCAUCAGAAUGGAAGGGAUGUACUUUUUAAUAAAAGAUGAGAGAACAAUCAGUUAUCCAUAUGAGGGGAAUGAGAUUGGAAUCCUUACCUCCGAGCACAUGAGAGAGUGGAUGCCGAGAGCCUUGAACACAUUCACAGAAAAGCAAAGCUGCCACAUUUGAGAGUGAGCAUUCUUAGAUAGGACGGAAGAAAUUUAAACAGGAAGGAAGAGCUUGGCAGAUUGAACCACAUUAGGAUUAAGAACUUAGAACUUGUGCAUACUGAAGGGAAUAACACAUUACAUUGUGCACACUAAGCCACAGUCUGGGAGAGGCAUUUUGUAAGAGUAAACACAGCUUAGAUGGAUGUAAAGACAGUAUCAGACGUUUCAUAAAUGAGACAGUAGCAGUGGCCUAUACACGUGAAAUAUGUCUGUCUAGGUUGGAAAUGGGGAACUGGAGUUGGAAUCACAGUGAAACACCCAUGUCUUGAUCACCAGAAUGCCAAACACUAAAAGAGAAUGGACAUUGUUAUCCAGUGGGGAGCAGCUGGACCUUGAGAUAUCUUUGGAAGUGUAUGAUGUGUCCACUGCAGAUCCAGUACAGCAGACACUGAGCAUAGACUUGUGCAUGCACCGUGGCCCACAAGGAACAUCCCUGAAGCAACUUGUACUAGGGAAUAUGUACAGAAAUGGUAGAUGAGCCUAAUAUCUAAUCAUGUAAUGUCAGAUGCCACAUGUGUGAAUUACCAGAAUUCACUCAUUGAAAUACUGUAAAAUGUAAGGGGGGAAAAAAAGCCAAAACAAAAGUUAACUUGCUUGGAAAAAACAAUAAAAGGUGUAAAUCCACGUAUUCUAUAACCUCUGCAUCUAGGGAGCAGGGAGCCCAAAGAGUCAUUCCUAAGGUUUUGAAGAUGCCUGGUGUACUCCGCUGAGUACGGCUCAGAAGAAAGGACAUGAAGAAUUGUGUGUAAGACCAAGCUCUGCUACUUAGCCCAUGUGACUGCAGAGACAUCUCCCCUCUCUGAGCCCCUCUUCCCGCUUCAUGGAGUAGAUGUACUAGUAACUUUAUACCUACCUCACCAACUCAGGAGCCUGAGCAGGAGAAAGAAGUUGGGGCUUGUGUGGCACACUGGUGCUGGUCACAGAUGUGCAGGAGGUGAGGCCUGCAGCAAGCACUGCUCUCUGUGUCUGAGCUUGCUGGCUAUGUCAACUUCGCUAGCGCUGAUCUGAAAGCUGGAUGUGUUCCAUUAGUCUGCUAGGUCUGCAGGCUUUCCCAUACCAGACGCUAAUGUGGACAGGAGGAUGAGCAAGAAGAAGAGCAAACAUUACAUCUCCCUGUCACUUUCCGUGGUGACACCCUGAGUCAUUGGGCCUAGGCAUAACUUGAUGUCAGUUACAUGGUAUCAUGUGAAUAGAAGCAUUGCAUUGUAGAUCUUUGUUUUCUUUUCUUCCCCCUUUUUACUUCAUUACUCCCCUGAAGUUAAUCAAAGUACCAUUAAAAUAGGGCCAGACAUCUAGGUGAAAUAGAGUAUAGCUUCCAAGUCUGGUGUUCCUAGGAGAAGCAGAAGCCCAUUGGAACUGACUUUGUAGCCAAGGGGUUAAGAUAGCUCACAGCAGGCAAAUACUUAUGCUAGAAUUUGCAAGCAGAGACAUCCGACCCACAGCUUUGAUUGUGCUAUAACCUUAUAAAAUGAAACCAUUGAGUAUCAUUAUUGUCUGGGGAAUAAGAUAACAUAUGGAUAAUCUUUCCAAAUAGUUGGGAUUUUAUACUAAAUUAUGAUCUGGCUUACCAUUUUCUGCACUAUUUGCCAUGCUGACUUUUCAAAGAACCUGGAACAAAAAAUACUAUCUCAGUAAAUCUUGGUUUUAGAAAUCCAUUAGCAGCAAGGAUGUAACAACUAAGUAAUGGCAUAAUAUCAAGCAGGAAAAGAUUCAGGUGCCAUAAAUCCUGAAGCCAUCUGUACACUGAGCAAACUGGCACAUGAGUCAUGUGCUUUUAGGAGUAUGGAAAUCAUAUAAGCUCCUACCGUCUGUAGCCUGACUGUAAGACGGGAGACCUGAGAGCCUCUGCUGCUUUUUCGUAGUCAAAUGAAGAUAAAACCAGUAAACAUAGAACAAAAGGCAUUUAAAAAUAAUGAAUAACCAUAGUAACAUCCAAAUUCAAAAUGGACAAGGAUUUCCUUAUAUUAAAGUAAAAUCAAAUCUUCACAUUUGAUUUUAGCUGCCUUGUAUUACAAAGCAUAGUUUUUAAUGUCUUAAAUUUUACCUAGUUUACCGACCUCCUUUGAAACCAUUUGACAGACUGGUUUAAGUUCUGCAACUUGGAAGACGAAGACUGUAGCGUGGGUUUUUGCUCACCACUCAGUGCUUAGUGCCCACAGCCCUCUCAGUAGGAACUGUGACCUUCAUGUGCAGUGGGCUCUGGAAGGUUCACUGCCUGUCCUCUGUGACUGUAACCUUGCAGUGUUUGCUUUAGUUCAGGCUGUCCCAGACAGGAAUGUAGCCAUGUGAACAGGAAGGCCGGAGACAAGAGUACAGACGAGGCUUUCCUUCUGGGUCCCAGACGCUGGGCUGCGCUGCCCUAGCUAGUGACCUCGCCAUCUCCUGAAGCAGGUGGACAUGGCAAUUAUAGCUUCGGCCACUGUCUUGAACUUUCUGUAGUCGGUGAUGAAUUGCAAAUGGCUAGACCCUGUGCACAACAAUAAACUCAAAUAAAUCUUCAAUGUGUAAUAAUGACAAUACAGAAAGACUGGCAGCUAUAACAAGGCUCCCGUUGUCACCUACUUUACUGUGGCCUUGAUAUCCAUCAUUAUCAGCUGAAGCCAGCUCAGGAGCUGGACAAGAAGGGCUGAAGAAGGAUGAGUUGUUUGCGCUGAAGCGUCCAGUUGGUCCCAUCUGGACGGCAGUAAAUGGGAUUUUUUUUUUUUUUUUGUGCCUGUUCACUAGGCCCUCACUGUCCAUCAUUUUAGGCGGGUAUCUGAUCACUUCAUGCUGGGGACAGUACUGGUGGCUUCGCUUUUCUUACCUCAGCAUUACAUUUUUAGUGCUUAGAAGGUUCUGGUUACUUUUAAGCUAUGUGCAAAUGUCAUUCUGUUUAUGAAAACUGAGCUAAUGAUAUUUUCCACUAGUGACAAGCAAUUUCUCAAAGGAGAACAUGAUCUUAAUCCAGUAUGAAUCACUGCUGAAAUCUGUGUUCUGAAUCAUUUGCAUUUCCUUUGUCAAAUAUGAAUAUUAUUUAUUGUUUCUUCAGUGAGAUGCAAAUUACCAUUUUUAAUUUUCAGAAUAAUAAGGUAGACAGCACAUAAAUUAUGGUGGAACACCAAGUUCAGUUUUAAACUCUCCCUAAUGUCCCUAAAUACCAUGUGAUUGUUGAUGCAUGCAGAGUAUAUAUUCUUCCUGCCUAGGGCCAUUCUGACAAAAACUGAAAACAGAACUGUAUAAUUUAAAAUAAAGCUGUAUUAUCUUGAUCCUUCAGCAUUUUAUCUUUGUGAUAAGAAUAAUCAAUAUAUGAUCCUCGGAUUUAUUGGUCUUAGGAUCACAGCAAUUUAAAAAGCUGGACUGUAUUCUCCGGAGUGUUCAUUUAAAGAAGCCUUCUAAUUAGUCACUGGCUUGUGUGGUUAUUACUUUAUAGUGCACGUGUGCAGGCUGAUGAGCUCAUCAGUGGUUAUGGUUCCUAACUGUUAACCCAGGCCGUCUUUACAAACCGUGUGCAGGCUUCUUCCUGGGGGUUUUAUUGCCCAUUUCUGUUGGCUCCCCUGAAAGACAGUUACAUAGGCAUUUCUCAACAUUUUUAGAUUUAAUGUUUGUCUUUUUAGAAAAAUGAACUUGUUUAUUGAUAGUAGAACCCUUUGGGCAGUUUGGCUGUUGAUUUAUAAUGUUGUUGUUAUUAUCAUUAAAUAUAUAUUUUUAGAUAAAGCAAUCAUUACAUAAGUCAGACUCAGCUCUGAGAUGAUGGAAAGGUGAGGCUCCUGAGGUCUCUGUUUCCUGGGACUGCAGGUUCUCCCGGAGGUCAGGCCAACUGACACACCAUCCUUCAUUUUGUCUUUCCCUCAUAAUAAAUCUCUAGGCCUUGGGGUACCAGACGCAUGCAUGCAGAUUUUUCUGCAUUUUAGUGUCUAGAUGGAAUAACAACUUCCAGUUCUGAUGGAACCCGGAGCAUAUUGUAGUUCUUCUCUGUAAAGCCGGCUUCACCCCGUAGUGACCACAUGAAAAUACAUGUCAAAAACACUGCUUGCUCUUAUUGAAACUUAAGCAAUUUGUUUUCAGCCUGUGAGCAGUUUCAGCCUAUUUUUGGAACCCCUUUGUGGCCUGACCAUUCUUUGCAGCGUAAUUUAUGGUGGCACUGUAACAUAUGGGCAUCUCAUCACCAUCCACCCCAAUUCUCAGCUGAGCCGGGGCUCCAGCCGCCACCUCCACUUGCUCUGUCUGAAGCAGGUACCCCAGCCUGCAGCUUGCGUUAGGCCAUACAGACAUUCAGCUAGAAGAGUUAGUAAAUCAAAUACGAAACGAUGCAGCUUGAAUAACGUUAAUGCCUGUGUAUGGCUGCGUCCCAGGAACCUGUUUGGAGAACCCAGUGAAGAGUAGCCAAAGUAUCCUUGUGUGUGCCUGAGCUUCAGUGGCGUGUGUCAGUCCCGACCACACACAGCGGGCUGCCUUGGUGGGGAUUCAUGUCUUCCGGGUAUCUCACAGUGACAGUCACUGCUUGUGGCUGGUUCUGGUCAAAUGAGAUGUUACUAGGAUUUCUCUUGAUCUUUAAUGGUGACAGUUAUUUUCUGAAGCAUUUGAGAUAGAUUUUUAGAAACUAGGUGGCUCACCGGUGAUAGUUUAUGACCCUAGGUGUCUUGUUUUGCAAGCACACUAUUCUACUAGCUGUUUGACAGAAGAGGCCAACCCUGAAAAGCCUCAUCUCCCAUGGAAAACUAGCAUCAUCCUAGCGCUGCUUUUUCUCUGCUGCAUUUUCCUAGGGAAGUGGGUGUAAACCUCCUACUCUGGAACAUUAUGUUUAUAAGCUUUUAAGUGAUGUUAUCAUCAAAUAUAAGCCCUCCUCCCCGUGUGUGUGUGUGUGUGUGUGUGUGUGUGUGUGUGUCUGUCUGUCUGUCUGUCUGUCUGUCUGUCUCUGUGUCUGUCUGUCUGUCUGUCUGUCUGUGCGUGCAUGGACCAUUUGUUACUCUUUGUAGGGUUGGACUUAAAGACCAGAGGCCUGGAUGAUUUGUAUUCAUUAGCCUAGGUGGCUGGACGCCCCUCUGGAAAGAAUCUGCAGAGUUCCACCACAGGCUAGACGCCCUGGGGGUGUGGGCUAGUGGGUGGGACUGGAAUUACAUUUCUAGCAAGCUUCCGAGUGCUGCUGUAUGUAGGUUCCAUUCACCUACUCUAGAUCUAUGCAUGUCUGUCCAUACCUGACCCUGGAGAUGAGAUGAAGGGCCUCAGAGACACAGUGCUGUCAAGUAGCACAGCCACAGGUCUGACUUCAGGCUUGCUCUCUCUUGACUUCAUGAUUUUACUGUGGUCACCCUCCUGGUUGCUGCAUGCUUCUCUUUCUUUGAUGAUUUUUGAAAAUGGCUUAUGUCCUUAAUAACCUAAAGUUUCUAGAAUGAGUUUGAUUUCAAGUUAUGAAUCUUUAUACAGGUUUAUAGUCUGAUUUGUAUAUCUGUGCAAGCAGAAAUUUCUGUAAACUCUAUCAUAUCAUUUGUGAUGGAGUUAUACAUACUAGUAACGCAAUUACAUAUCUUAAUUAUCAUAAUCACAAAAAUACAAUAUCAUUUUGCUUUCAUUGAAUAUGUGUGCAAUAAGAUAAGGCAGACAAUAAUUUUGACUUGAUAGUGGAAAUUAAAAAUUACUUCAGCAAUUGUUUCAAAUCUGAAGCUCGCCUUCAUGUUUCAGAAAAGAUUUACUCUGCGCUGCCAUUACUGGAACAACCAUUGAGUGUUUUAUUUCGUUUCAUUUAUAGACUGUAAUUGUGUAAACCCUUUAAAAAAGUUACGUGUGGAUCAAUAUUCACCGAAAUCCCCAGUGGAUGGGACCUAACAGUACCCAGGCUUUCUGUUUAUAGUCAGGGUCCCUCUCUCCUGUGCCCUAAGUGACCGUUACAUCCCUGUGCGUGCUCCUCAUUUGGUCUAUAAAGAAAAGAUUAACCACUGAGGGCCCAAAGCUCCGUCACAGAUAUGAGUCGGGGUGCUUGCUCUUUUACCAGAGAACUGCCAGUGUGUGCCAUCCCAGUACAUGAUGUGAUGUUUAGAGGGAUGAAAUUCCUACAAAAGUGCCAUUUAGGGAACAAGAAACACAAACUUAGGAUGACUGGUGUGGACUUGUGCUGCACGGUACUUCUGUUAAAGAGUGAAUCAGAGAAAAUGGGGUUUGAGGUUUGUCCAUGAUUUAAUGCAGUUGGUGUCAGUCUUAUGCACUGAUUUUGCAGGGCAGAAUCCAGAUGCAGUGCCUUUAAACUCUUCUCCUUUGUUUCUCUGUCCUAAGCAUUCCUACACUGGGCUGACCCCAGGUCCUGUUGCUGGUUGUGAAGCCCUUCUGCCUGGUGGGUUUGAUGGUUGGGGUUGCUGCUUUUGUGUUGAUCUGAGGGAUUAAACCCAGGCCUCAGCUAUGCAUGCUAGAUCAGAGCUUCAUGGAUGGAAUGUGGGGCCUAGCAGAAAGCUCAGUUUGGGAAAAAAGCCUUUUGCUGCUGUUGGAGAGAAGCCUUUUGCUGCUGUUGGAGAGAAGCCUUUUGCUGCUGUUGGAGAGAAGCCUUUUGCUGCUGUUGGAGAGAAGCCUUUUGCUGCUGUUGGAGAGAAGCCUUUUGCUGCUGUUGGAGGGGUUUUGUCGGAGGGGAAGGGCCAGCGGCAGUACGGAGAGAGCUGUAGCACCCUGCUGUGUCAUAACCAGGUGUUAACUCUUGGGAUGGUUUUGUUUGUUUGUUAAGAGAAAAGGAGCACUUCCAUCAAACUAAGAUGUCUUCCAAUCUGGGCAAAGAGUCUCACAGACUUGUAUUAGAUGUAAAUGACUGAAUUCAGAUUAUUCUUCUAACCAUUGAUGUCUCUGAUUUUGUAUAGACUGAGCAAAGCAGGUGCCUUAGUGUUUAUAGCAUAUGCAAUCAUUCCGUUCUUUGUGAUGUAAAAACACACUAGUGAGAGACUCUUCCCCUCACAGGUGAGAACAGAACUUAGAGCUGGUAGCGAGCAUUCAGACCCACAGUGCAUAGCUCCAUUGUCUAGCCUACAGCCUGGGAAAAGUUCCUGAAUGGGAGGAUUGGAAUUAUAAAAUUUGCAAGCAUCUGCUUACCACUAUCCACACGCUCAGCACAUGCGAGCUCUGUAACAGUUCUAUGUGAAACAAUUCCUCUUUCCUUGGUGCUUUACAGUCUGGAGAACUAUUUAAUUUAUGCCAUUCUGGUUUUCUGUGUAUAGGAGUCAUGAAGAAAACCCCACUUUGGCACCGUGCUCCCUUAUCUUGUUCUUGUAACUGAAAUGGCUCCGUGCCAUAUUUAGCAGGAAACCUGCAUAGUGCACCACCAAGAGACCAUGCUUAGUAGAGAGCCUGACAGCUGGUGCAUCAGACAAAGCCUUCAGAUGCUCAGUGAAGGGCGACCAUAUUCUCCUCCUCCUCUUCCCGUGGGCAGCCAUAGCUGCACUUGGAUGUGCUGUGUACCAGCAUAGCCUGCAGUGUGGAGGCCAGGUCUUGUUCGUGAAGCUGAUUGCCUGUCCCAGAGUCUCACAAAUGUUCGUGCCUCUGGCCACUGCUGGAGCUCUUGCUAGGAGGGGUGAGCCCCUCCUCGUGCUCCCUGUCCACAUCUCAGGCAAUUUAGUAUGUUUCUUUUUAAACAGAAAUGUAAGUAGCACCUUCAAGUAAAAGUAGAUACAAUUAAGAUUCGUAUCAAGAGCUACACGAAGAGUUGUUUUGACCAUCUUUGCCUCAGCCAUGUUUAAUGACCCUCAGACGCCCAACUGGGGCGAGAGAGAAGUGUACUUGGGACAGUGGUCUUCAGCAGUGUCUUGGUGGCGUUCCUUUCUCUUUGGUAAUUGGUUUUCUCACAGAUAAUCUGUGUGACUUCCUUGUUCUCUGCCUUUGACUGGUCAUCUUGCCUUCUGAUAGUUGCCACUUGGCUUCUGGGAGGUCAGUCCAGUCUUCCAGAUGUUCACUUGUUGGCCUCUCUUAUCUACACAUCAAGUUCGGGAGAACUGGCCUGUCUCAAGGUUGAGAAAAUGAUCUCAGAAGAGGAAAGGCCUUUCCAGUAUCAGUAGCCACUCCGGACUUGAGAAAAUUUUCUUUCUGGGGAUCGUUCACAGUAGAGGAUCCUGCCAAUAAAAUGUACUUCAAAGUUUCUUCUGAGAUUUCAUCCUCAAGAGAGCACAUCAGGCCACUGGCUUUGGGUUGCAUUUGUAGGAACUGCGCAUGCCCUCCAGGGCUGUGGUAAAGCCAAUGGCUUGUGCUGUUCCGACUUGGUGCCUUUCUUCUGUGUUUAUACCUUUUAUGUGUAAAGCCUCUCCCAUCUUUUUGGCUGCUUUGUUUCAAAGCUUUGGCUUCCCUUGUAAAGGUUCUAACAGCUAAUGGAGUUCAUGUGGCCUAUAGUGAAUUCUUCUGUGAUCUCCGGUCCCAUACUUAUCACUGGCUAGAACCUUGCUCUUUAGAAAUUGCCAAACCUGUGCCUUGUUUUCAGCUUCCACACCUGUUUCACCUCUCAGAUCAGGUCCUCCUGGAGAGCUUGGAUUUUUGUCAUUGUUGGUAUAACAGCUUGAUGCCAGUCUCUAAGAGGAGAUUUUUAUCCAGGGUUGUUGUUUUGGGUUUUUCCUUGCUUGUGUAGCUCUCUACACACUCCCUCUGUCAGCAGCAUGCAGGUUUUAUUCUCCUUUUGUCUCUACUAUUUUCCCAGCCUUCGAAGUGAAAAUAGGUGGGAACAUCAGCUGUUUGGCACUUGAGAAUAACAGCCUGUUAAUGCGCUGAGCCCUUGUAGCUGCUCUCAGCCCUCUCCUAGCAAGCCGCAGGCUGCCACUGUCCUAGCCACACUCUCCAUCUUCUGGGCUUGCACAGUUGGGUGGUUCUGCAGACCCUCUGCCUGGCCAAGUCCUUGAACUCAGCACUGUGUCUGUGACGGACUGGAGCACUAGGACUGCCAGGAGUCGGUCGGUCAGAGGAGUGGACGCAGCAUCUCAGUUCUCAAGCCUUAAUGAUGGGAAAGAGCUUUCGCGUGCCAAGGACGGGGUCUUCAGCUCCUCAGAGGAAGGAGAGUUGCCGUUGCCCAACAAUAACCUGCUCACAGCAAGAUUCUCACCUUGAAUUGUACUUUUGACCCUGUCGUCAUCAGCGUCUGUAGCCCACAUACUCCACUUACAAACUUGUACCCAAAAGAAGGUUCUGUUAUCAUUUAAACAUCUUCUCUCUCUCUCUUCCUUCCUUCCUUUCUUUGUUCCUUUCUUUCCUUCUUUCUUUCUUUUGCCCUCUCCCUCUUUCUUUCUUUCUUUCUUCCUUUCUUUCUUUCUUUCUUUCUUUCUUUCUUUCUUUUUUCUUUCUCUUGUUCAUUCUUUCCAUUAUAAAUACAUGAUUUCCCCCUUCCCUCUCCUCCCUAGAAACCCUCCAAUAUACCUGUUCUUGUUCUUUUUCAAAUUCAUGGCAUAUUGUUUCAUUUAUUCUUCUCUCUCUUUCUCUCCUCUCUCUCUCCUCUCUCUCUCUCUCUCUCUCUCUCUCUCUCACACACACACACACACACACUUACAAAGUACAUGAAUACAACCUGUUCAGUAUGUAAUGUUACUUUACUUGUGUGUAUGUAUUUGCUGGGCUGAUGCCUUGGUUGGACUACAAAACAAGGAAAAAUUUGGUGGGUAUGAAAGUCAUGUGUACUGUAUAAAUGAACUAAAAUAUAACAGGCAGGGUGAUGCAUUUUAUUUGCAUUAAGCUUAUAUGAUCUACCUGUAAGCUUUGUGUUUCAAACUUGCAGCUGAGAUUAUUAUGUGAUGUAGCACAUAUGUUUAUAGAUAGUAGAUGAUAGAUAUAUCGAUCUGCAUGAACUAAAAAAUAAAAUUUCCUCUGUGUGUGUGUGUGUGUGUGUGUGUGUGAAUUAAUAAUUGCCGAUUCAGCACUCCUAACAUUGAAAUAACUAUGUGAGAAACUUUGUUUCUUUGUGCACACCAAGUUGCAGAAACUUGCUUU